GACGAACCGUACGAACGUUAUUCGGAAUUACUGGGCGUAAAGCGUGCGCAGGCGGUGAUGUAAGACAGUUGUGAAAUCCCCGGGCUCAACCUGGGAACUGCAUCUGUGACUGCAUCGCUGGAGUGCGGCAGAGGGGGAUGGAAUUCCGCGUGUAGCAGUGAAAUGCGUAGAUAUGCGGAGGAACACCGAUGGCGAAGGCAAUCCCCUGGGCCUGCACUGACGCUCAUGCACGAAAGCGUGGGGAGCAAACAGG
rnacentral:rRNA from 1 species